GGUUAUAGCUCAAUGGCAGAGCACUUGCCUUGCACGAGUGACGCCCUGGGUUCGAUUCUCAGCACCA
rnacentral:tRNA from 1 species